GUACUAGCUACAAGGCUGUGAAAGUUGGCCUUAAAGAAGGCAAGAGAGGAAGAAUAUCAACUCGUCUUGAGUUGUGGUGCUGGAGAAGGCUUCUGGAUAUUCCCCAGACAGUAAAAGUGGGAAGUGGGAAGGAAGUACUUCAAGACACCUUUGCAGAAAAUGAGGAAUUGUAUCUGAAAUGAGGAGACCCGGAAUUGACCUUCUUCGUGGUUUUCCAAGAAAAGAGAUCCCUGAGUUGUCCAAGAUGCCUGCAUUAAUCCUCCCUCCUCCCCCCCCGAAGAAAGCCACCCAAAGCUCUACUUGGUUCCAUCUGGAUAUCGGCGUGAAGACUGGGAAGCAAAUUAGUGGAAGCAUCUAAAGAGGAUAAUCCUCCACUGAACAGAUGCAGGAAUUGAAAACGCUUCCCAGGAGAAGCAUCUGGUUGCCCGCGAGAGGAGAAAGCGGCUUUCUAUUCUUGGAAGUGUGGGGUCUGGUGGGAAGGAUUUGCGAAGGAGAAACAGCCUGCUGCUAGAGAGAUGUGGUGUCUAUGUUCCUCCGACAUCUGCUGCUUCAGAGAUAACAUGCCACCUUUUUGGUUUUCUUCUCCUGGUGGUGAAGGCAGAGAUAGCCUUGAAGCAGCUGCAUUCUUCAAGAGGACUAUUUUUUGGUUUUUGUUUUUUAAAAUCCUGCCUUCCUUUCAUCCACUUCAAUCAGAAUAGAGCUGGAAGGGACCCUGGAGGUCUUCUAGUCCAGCCCCC